rnacentral:rRNA from 1 species
UACGUAGGGUGCAAGCGUUGUUCGGAAUUAUUGGGCGUAAAGAGCGUGUAGGCGGCCAGGUAGGUCUGCUGUGAAAACUCGAGGCUCAACCUCGAGACGUCGGCGGAAACCAUCUGGCUAGAGUCCGGAAGAGGAGAGUGGAAGUUCCUGGUGUGAGCGGUGAAAUGCGUAGAUAUCAUGAGGAAUACCAGAGGCGAAGGCGGCUACCUGGACAAUUGCUGACGCUCAGACACGAAAGCGUGGGGAGCAAAGGG